AUUAAACGCUGGCGGCAUGCCUUACACAUGCAAGUCGAACGGCAGCACGGGGGCAACCCUGGCGGCGAGUGGCGAACGGGUGAGUAAAGCAUCGGAACGUGCCCUGGAGUGGGGGGAUAACGUAGCGAAAGUUACGCUAAUACCGCAUAUCUGUGAGCAGGAAAGCAGGGGAUCGCAAGACCUUGCGCUCUGGGAGCGGCCGAUGUCGGAUUAGCUAGUUGGUGGGGUAAAGGCCUACCAAGGCGACGAUCCGUAGCGGGUCUGAGAGGAUGAUCCGCCACACUGGGACUGAGACACGGCCCAGACUCCUACGGGAGGCAGCAGUGGGGAAUUUUGGACAAUGGGCGAAAGCCUGAUCCAGCCAUGCCGCGUGAGUGAAGAAGGCCUCGG
rnacentral:rRNA from 1 species